ACAGCCUGUGUGUUUGACUGUGUCAUUAAUAGAUCAGUAUGGAGCUCAGUCUACUUCCUCUAAUGCUCUUGCUGAUUUCAAACAUCCGCCCUGCACACACUCAAGGGCAAGAGGCUUCAGAGGAAUACAGCA